rnacentral:rRNA from 1 species
AACGCGAAGAACCUUACCAGGUCUUGACAUCCCGCUGACCGCUAUGGAGACAUAGUUUUCCCUUCGGGGACAGCGGUGACAGGUGGUGCAUGGUUGUCGUCAGCUCGUGUCGUGAGAUGUUGGGUUAAGUCCCGCAACGAGCGCAACCCUUGUUCUUAGUUGCCAUCAUUUAGUUGGGCACUCUAAGGAGACUGCCGGUGACAAACCGGAGGAAGGUGGGGAUGACGUCAAAUCAUCAUGCCCCUUAUGACCUGGGCUACACACGUGCUACAAUGGACGGUACAAACGGUUGCGAAGUCGCGAGAUGGAGCCAAUCCGAUAAAACCGUUCUCAGUUCGGAUUGUAGGCUGCAACUCGCCUACAUGAAGCCGGAAUCGCUAGUAAUCGCGGAUCAGCAUGCCGCGGUGAAUACGUUCCCGGGCCUUGUA